rnacentral:tRNA from 1 species
GCCCCCAUCGUCUAGUGGUCUAGGAUAUCAGGUUCUCAUCCUGAAGACACGGGUUCGAGUCCCGUUGGGGGUA